UGGGGAAUUUUGGACAAUGGGCGCAAGCCUGAUCCAGCCAUGCCGCGUGCGGGAAGAAGGCCUUCGGGUUGUAAACCGCUUUUGUCAGGGAAGAAAUCUUCUGGGUUAAUACCUCGGGAGGAUGACGGUACCUGAAGAAUAAGCACCGGCCAACUACGUGCCAGCAGCCGCGGUAAUACGUAGGGUGCAAGCGUUAAUCGGAAUUACUGGGCGUAAAGCGUGCGCAGGCGGUUAUGCAAGACAGAUGUGAAAUCCCCGGGCUCAACCUGGGAACUGCAUUUGUGACUGCAUGGCUAGAGUGCGGCAGAGGGGGAUGGAAUUCCGCGUGUAGCAGUGAAAUGCGUAGAUAUGCGGAGGAACACCGAUGGCGAAGGCAAUCCCCUGGGCCUGCACUGACGCUCAUGCACGAAAGCGUGGGGAGCAAACAGGAUUAGAUACCCUGGUAGUCCACGCCCUAAACGAUGUCAACUGGUUGUUGGGAAGGUUCCUUCUCAGUAACGUAGCUAACGCGUGAAGUUGACCGCCUGGGGAGUACGGCCGCAAGGUUG
rnacentral:rRNA from 1 species